UACAGAGGGGGCAAGCGUUAUUCGGAAUUAUUGGGCGUAAAGGGCGCGUAGGCGGCAUGGCAAGUGGAUGGUGAAAUCCCUCGGCUUAACCGAGGAACUGCCGUCCAAAACUGCUUCGCUUGAGACCGGGAGAGGUGAGUGGAAUUCCCAGUGUAGCGGUGAAAUGCGUAGAUAUUGGGAGGAACACCAGUGGCGAAGGCGGCUCACUGGACCGGUACUGACGCUGAUGCGCGAAAGCGUGGGGAGCAAACGGG
rnacentral:rRNA from 1 species